rnacentral:rRNA from 1 species
AUUGAACGCUGGCGGCAUGCUUUACACAUGCAAAUCGAACGGCAGCACGGGGGUAACCCUGGUGGCGAGUGGCGAACGGGUGAGUAAUGCAUCGGAACAUAUCUUAAAGUGGGGAAUAACGCAUCGAAAGGUGUGCUAAUACUCCAUAUACUCUAAGGAGGAAAGCGGGGGAUCGAAAGACCUCGUGCUUUAAGGGUGGCCGAUGUCUGAUUAGCUAGUUGGUGGGGUAACGGCCUACCAAGGCGACGAUCAAUAGCUGGCGUGAGAGCGCGACCAGCCACACUGGAACUGAGACACGGUCCAGACUCCUACGGGAGGCAGCAGUAGGGAAUAUUGGACAAUGGGCGAAAGCCUGAUCCAGCCAUGCCGCGUGAUAGAUGAAGGCCCUCUGGGUUGUAAAUAUCUUUUAUCUGGGAAGAAACUCCUCUAUUCUUAGAGGCCUGACGGUACCAGAGGAAUAAGCACCGGCUAACUCCGUGCCAGCAGC